rnacentral:SRP_RNA from 1 species
CCGCGCAGCCGGGGUAGUAGCGGCACCUUGUACCUGCAAUCCGCUAUAGCAGGGGUGAUGUCUGGUGGAGGGCGAUAGUUUAUGGAGCAGCCCGAUAAAAGUGGUGUUGACAUUUGGGUCUUUCGCAACGGAAAUUCAUGAAUCAUGUCAGGUCAGGAAUGAAGCAGCAUUAAGUGAAACCUUUCGUGUGCCGAAAGGGUGCCUGAAUCGAGCUAACUGUAUCGGUAACGUCUGUGGACUAGCGUUCGAUAUCAGAUGCGCGG